UCAUUUCCAAUAGCAGAGGAGCUCCAGCCUUCUGACCCUCAUUGUGGCCUUCUCUGGACUUGCUCCCACAGAUCCACAUCCUUCUUAAAAUAAGGACCCUAGAGCUGAACACAGUACUGCCGGCAGCAUCUCACCAGAGCAGAGCAGAGGGGGAGAAUCAAUUUUUUUUAACCUAUGCUGAGCAAUCUCAUUUUUCAGGAACUGAUUCACCCCACUCAUAGAAAUGGAGGAUGAAGGGUGAAAGAAAUCUAAGAAACCCAGAUGGGAUGUGUCAUUCCUUAAAACCUGUUUAGGUAUCUUGAGAGGGUAACUCAGAGCAAAGCCAAAUGCUGAAGUCUCUAUGUAUUUUAAGAAACAUUUCAACCUUUUCAGAUUUUCACUCAAUAUACAAAAAAAUGCCAUUAUAGUCUCACUCUGA